CCUACGGGAGGCUGCAGUCGAGGAUCUUCGGCAAUGGGCGGAAGCCUGACCGAGCGACGCCGCGUGCGCGACGAAGGCCCUCGGGUUGUAAAGCGCGAAGGCACCGAGGAAGGGAAACUUGACCGAGGUGCAGUAAGCACGGGCUAAGUUCGUGCCAGCAGCCGCGGUAAGACGAACCGUGCGAACGUUGUUCGGAAUCACUGGGCUUAAAGGGCGCGUAGGCGGCCCGCCGCGUCCGGGGUGAAAGCCUCCGGCUUAACCGGAGAAGUGCCCCG
rnacentral:rRNA from 1 species